GAGGAUAGGAGCGGAACUGUUCUCAUUUUUGCCCCAGCUAAUGAACAUAUGGCAACAAGUUGUGGGAGGUUUCACCUUUCUGAACGUGCCUCACUCUCAGCUUCUUCAGUGUAUUUGGUUGCUUCUGCAUUGUGAAGCCAGGAGGCUGAAGUUCAGGUAGGUCUCUUCUCAUUUUUUCUUUAAUCCACCUGUUGCCUUGCAUUAGAAGUUUGGCUUCUGUAUGAUAGAUGAUGAUCAGGUUAUUUUACUGGUUUGUGUUAUCGCCCAGAAAUUUUUCAUGAAAAACUUAAUGUAUCUGAUUAUCAUAACUAGAUUAUUGCCGUUACUGAGGAAUCUCUCUAUAUCAUUUCAACCUGUUGACUUGUCUGUGGAAAACACUGGCAGAGAUGACACAAGCCUGAACUAGGGGAUUGAUUUUCUUUGGACUAUUGAUUGUUUUCCCAACUGGAAAUGGUUUGUAGCUAAUCACCAACAUUGUAUUCGGAGGCUUGCACCUGUCUUCAGGUUGAGUAAGUUACAUGAUCGAUUUCAUUGGCUGGGGAGAUGCACGAAUGCGCUUGUGAUGUGCAUGUGCUUUAGCUGUUAAGCUGUGUACCAAGGACGGCCUCAAGGUUGAUGAUUCUGUCAGCAUAAUAAUCUAAAGAAGCAUAAGAUGAAAAAAGAGGAAAAGAAGGAUAUUUUAUAUAUUUCUUUUUACAAAAUAUAAAGAAAUGAUGGAAGAACAUCUUCCAAUUUUUCUUACUCCUGGCGCUGGGAGGUAUUGUGCAGUGGAUAUCACAAACUAACAGGUUUAGGUGUUUUUAAAGAAACUAUAUUAUGUUGAAACUUAUUGUUCGAUUGGGUUUAUCUGAGUUGUUGAGGACUGCACGCUGCCAAGGACAGACUCCUAAAUCUGAAGUUGAUUUCUGUUGCCAGUUCUAGCUUAUUGUCAUCUCGCUGGAGGAGAUGAUGUUAAUCAUUUUGGGAGGCAUGUAUUGUCAUGCAGUUACGAGAUUCUCUAUUUAAUCUACAUUGGCUUAAGGUCCUUAGAACCUGUGCAAAAGAAUCCAAAUAUAAGGGUUCUUACCUUUGAAACGAAAACAUGUUAUUGUACAGUCUAAUUGUUAAAUGGUUGGUCUUCUGAUCUCAA